GAUGAAGAACGUAGCGAAAUGCGAUAAGUAAUGUGAAUUGCAGAAUUCAGUGAAUCAUCGAAUCUUUGAACGCACCUUGCGCCCUUUGGCCAUUCCGAAGGGCAUGCCUGUUUGAGUAUCAUGAACACCUCAACUCUUUAUGGUUUUCCAUGAUGAGCUUGGACUCUGGGGGUUUUGCUGGCUCACAGUCGGCUCCUCUAAAAUGAAUCAGCUUACCAGUGUUUGGUGGGUAUCAUGGGUGUGAUAACUAUCUACGCUUGUGGUUUUUCCACCAGGUAACCUUCAGCAGUGGAGGUGCGCUGGAGCUCAUAGAUGUCUCUCCUCAGUGAGGACAGCCCUUUGAAUGUUUGACCUCAAAUCAGGUAGGACUACCCGCUGAACUUAAGCAUAUCAAUAAGCGGAGGA
rnacentral:misc_RNA from 1 species